UGGGGAAUUUUGGACAAUGGGCGAAAGCCUGAUCCAGCAAUGCCGCGUGUGUGAAGAAGGCCUUCGGGUUGUAAAGCACUUUUGUCCGGAAAGAAAUCCUUGGCUCUAAUACAGUCGGGGGAUGACGGUACCGGAAGAAUAAGCACCGGCUAACUACGUGCCAGCAGCCGCGGUAAUACGUAGGGUGCAAGCGUUAAUCGGAAUUACUGGGCGUAAAGCGUGCGCAGGCGGUUUGCUAAGACCGAUGUGAAAUCCCCGGGCUCAACCUGGGAACUGCAUUGGUGACUGGCAGGCUAGAGUAUGGCAGAGGGGGGUAGAAUUCCACGUGUAGCAGUGAAAUGCGUAGAGAUGUGGAGGAAUACCGAUGGCGAAGGCAGCCCCCUGGGCCAAAUACUGACGCUCAUGCACGAAAGCGUGGGGAGCAAACAGGAUUAGAUACCCUGGUAGUCCACGCCCUAAACGAUGUCAACUAGUUGUUGUGGAUUCAUUUCCUUAGUAACGUAGCUAACGCGUGAAGUUGACCGCCUGGGGAGUACGGUCGCAAGAUUAAAACUCAAAGGAAUUGACGAGGUCAUAGCUGUUUCCU
rnacentral:rRNA from 1 species